CUUUAAUUAUGCAGAUUUAUGCACGACGCUACUACACUCGCACAAACUGAGAAGAUUUAGUUCAUUGAGAAUGGAUUGAAACUGAAGAAGAGCUGGAAGGAGUUAGCUGAUGAGUAGACAUUACAACAUUUUUUAUAGUUGCAAGAUGACGCAGAAAGUCCCAUCCAGGAUGAUGCUUCGCUACAGUGGAUGAUGAAGCCAUGCUGGUUUACAAACUCAGGAGAGGAACAAAGAACAGAUAUUGACGGGAUCAUAUCUAGAGAUGCAGGCCUACUACUCUUCAUACGAGCAAGUGUGCUAUUAAAUAUACAUGUAGGUACCCCAAUAAACUAUUGUGGAACACAUAUCAUGCAGAAAGUUAUAGAUCUGACAAAGAUAUUUUUCAUUGUCCGUUGACUUGUAAAAGAAUACUUGACUGAAUAUCAUAAUUGUGAUUUAGAUUAAAAAUAAAAUGUCAAUAUAGAUGAAAUAUAAGUCUACAUUACGUAUGUUUCAGUAG